rnacentral:rRNA from 1 species
ANAGUUUGAUUAUGGCUCAGAAUGAACGCUGGCGGUAUGCCUUACACAUGCAAGUCGUACGAGAGUUUUUAACUCUAGUGGCGGACGGGUGAGUAACACGUAAGAAUUUGCCUUUAGGAGGGGGACAACAACUGGAAACGGUUGCUAAUACCCCAUAUGCUUUCGAGUGAAAUGGAUUUCCGCCUAAAGAGAAGCUUGCGGCUGAUUAGCUUGUUGGUGAGGUAAUGGCUCACCAAGGCGACGAUCAGUAUCUGGUUUGAGAGGACGAUCAGACACACUGGAACUGAGACACGGUCCAGACUCCUACGGGAGGCAGCAGUGGGGAAUUUUCCGCAAUGGGCGAAAGCCUGACGGAGCAAUACCGCGUGAGGGAUGACGGCCUAUGGGUUGUAAACCUCUUUUUUCAGGGAGGAAUAAAUGACGUGUACCUGAAGAAUAAGCAUCGGCUAACUCCGUGCCAGCAGCCGCGGUAAGACGGAGGAUGCAAGUGUUAUCCGGAAUCACUGGGCGUAAAGCGUCUGUAGGUGGUCUAAUAAGUCAACUGUUAAAUCUUGAGGCUCAACCUCAAAAUCGCAGUCGAAACUAUUAGACUAGAGUAUAGUAGGGGUAAAGGGAAUUUCCAGUGGAGCGGUGAAAUGCGUAGAGAUUGGAAGGAACACCGAUGGCGAAGGCACUUUACUGGGCUAUUACUAACACUCAGAGACGAAAGCUAGGGUAGCAAAUGGGAUUAGAUACCCCAGUAGUCCUAGCUGUAAACAAUGG